GACGAACGCUGGCGGCGUGCUUAACACAUGCAAGUCGAACGAAGUGGCGAACGGGUGAGUAACGCGUAAUCAACCUGCCCUUCCGAGGGGGACAACAGUUGGAAACGACUGCUAAUACCGCAUACUGAAGGAGGGGAUCUCGUCUGAUUAGCUAGUUGGAGGGGUAACGGCCCACCAAGGCGAUGAUCAGUAGCCGGGCUGAGAGAAUGGACGGCCACAUUGGGACUGAGACACGGCCCAGACUCCUACGGGAGGCAGCAGGGGGGAAUCUGCCGCAAUGGAAGAAAGUCUGACGGAGCAACGCCGCGUGAGUGAUGACGGCCUUCGGGUUGUAAAGCUCUGUUAAUCGUGACGCGGUACCGGAAUAGAAAGCCACGGCUAACUACGUGCCAGCCGCCGCGGUAAUUC
rnacentral:rRNA from 1 species